GCUGGGCAUGGUGGUGCAUGCCUGAAAUCCCAGUUACUCGGGAGGCUGAGGCAGGAGAAUUGCUUGAACCUAGGAGGUGGAGGUUGCAGUGAGUCCAGAUGGCGCCACUGCACUCCAGCCUGGGUGACAAUGCAAGACCCUGUCUCAA
rnacentral:SRP_RNA from 1 species